GGACCCGCACAAGCAGUGGAGUAUGUGGUUUAAUUCGAAGCAACGCGAAGAACCUUACCAGGGCUUGACAUCCCAAGAAUGCUGUAGAGAUACGGCAGUGCCCUUCGGGGAACUUGGUGACAGGUGGUGCAUGGUUGUCGUCAGCUCGUGUCGUGAGAUGUUGGGUUAAGUCCCGCAACGAGCGCAACCCCUAUUGUUAGUUGCCAUCAUUAAGUUGGGCACUCUAGCGAGACUGCCGGUGAUAAAUCGGAGGAAGGUGGGGACGACGUCAAAUCAUCAUGCCCCUUAUGUCCUGGGCUACACACGUACUACAAUGGCCGUUAACAGAGGGAAGCAAUAUAGUGAUAUGGAGCAAAACCCUAAAAACGGUCCCAGUUCAGAUUGUAGGCUGAAACUCGCCUACAUGAAGAUGGAAUUGCUAGUAAUCGCGGAUCAGAAUGCCGCGGUGAAUACGUUCCCGGGUCUU
rnacentral:rRNA from 1 species